rnacentral:lncRNA from 1 species
CUCGCUUGCUAUUCCCGAAAAGGGGGAAAGGAUUUGGGGGGGACAAUCGCGGAGCCUCUCGCUGGCUUUAGGGAGAGAGGGCUGGGGUAGAGGAGAGCCCCAGGGAGCAGGCAGAGGUGGGUUGGCUAGGGCCUUGUGUGACUUGGGCUGAGAAACUUCACUUAUUCCCUGGCGCUGGCAGUUGUCAAACUGGGUCUUGUAGAUGCUAAGUCUCCAUAGAGGUAUCGUAGGUGUUCAAGAUGAAGGAGAAGGCUCUCAUUAACAUGGCCUCACAAGAGAACCAGACUUCAGGGAGAGGAGAGCAGAAGGAUAUUCUUUCUGGGAGCCCUGAGCCCAUCUAACCUCCAGUUCGUCCAUCAACUGAUUACUGCUCAGUCACCUCAGAUGAUACCACUGGGAGCCAGAGAACUGCCUAGCUGUGCCCUGCCUGAAUGUCUGACUCAUCACUCAUGGUGGAUGACCUUUUUCCUGAAGAAACUGCUGCAGAAUGAAAGCUCCAGGCGCUUGGGUGCAGCAAGUAGGCUAUGCAUUUCCCACCAGCAGGAAUCUAGCUCCUGGCCAAGGAAAUCAUACGUGAUGUGUAGGGAAGUGUGUGGGGCAGUGGAAGGAAUGUGGACCGUUGCCUCCCUUCGCUUGUCUGGAUGACCUUGGAUGAGGCCUCAAUCCUGGUAGUCACCUGGACUCCUCCUGAAUUUCCCGCAUGUCCUGCAGCAGUGACCCCAUCUGACAUGUUGUGUGGCUGGCUGUCCCCCAGUGAAAUCAUAGCCCUGGAGGGCAGGGUGUGUUUCUUCGUUUUCCUGCCUGGUGUGUGGAGACCCUGUGUGACCGUGGCGCAGA